rnacentral:sRNA from 1 species
CAAAACAAAUAUUAGCAUCUGGUUAAAAUGGAGAAAGGCAAGAGGAAAAAGAAGAAGAAUAGAACCCCGAUGAAUAUGAUUUUGUGGACAGUACAGAUUUUGAUGAAAGGCAUAAACUAAAUUCAGUGACAGAUUGACAAUCUUCAACCUAAAACACCAAACACAAGUGAGGUAGCUCUACUGCUGAAGACAUUUGUAAGGAAGCUCUAAAAAAAGAACAUCAAGAAGAAAUAUGUCUUUCCUUUUCUGAUUUCCUUAGGAGACUUGCCGAUAUUGAUGCAUCUCCAGGAAUCUAACAAAGACAUGUUGGAAGCAUUAUAAAAGCCAGUUUAAGCCAGUGACUAUCCCUAGCUGGGGCUGCGUAGCCAUGGGAAAUACUGUAUUCCUCAUUAAUAUUCCGACUCAAAGACAAGGUUU